rnacentral:rRNA from 1 species
GACGUAGGGCGCGAGCGUUGUCCGGAUUUAUUGGGCGUAAAGAGCUCGUAGGCGGCUUGUCGCGUCGUGUGUGAAAUCUCAGGGCUCAACUCUGACAUUGCAUACGAUACGGGCAGGCUUGAGUUCGGUAGGGGAGACUGGAAUUCCUGGUGUAGCGGUGAAAUGCGCAGAUAUCAGGAGGAACACCGGUGGCGAAGGCGGGUCUCUGGACAGUUCCUGACGCUGAGGCACGAAGGCCAGGGGAGCAAACGGG